rnacentral:rRNA from 1 species
GAUCAACGCUGGCGGCGUGCCUAACACAUGCAAGUCGAACGAUGAAGAUUAAAAGAUUUCUUCGGAAUGAACUUAAUUGGAUUAGUGGCGGACGGGUGAGUAACGCGUGAGUAACCUGCCUUGUACAAGGGGAUAGCCGUUGGAAACGACGAAUAAUACCCUAUGACAUCAAAUAAUCGCAUGAUAAUUUGAUCAAAGAUUUAUCGGUAUAAGAUGGACUCGCGUCUGAUUAGCUAGUUGGUAGAGUAAAAGCCUACCAAGGCAACGAUCAGUAGCCGGCUUGAGAGAGUGUACGGCCACAUUGGGACUGAGACACGGCCCAGACUCCUACGGGAGGCAGCAGUGGGGAAUUUUGCACAAUGGGGGAAACCCUGAUGCAGCGACGCCGCGUGAUUUAGAAGGCCUUCGGGUUGUAAAAAUCUUUUGUAUGGGAAGAAAAUGACAGUACCAUACGAAUAAGGACCGGCUAAUUACGUG